AUUGAACGCUGGCGGCAUGCUUUACACAUGCAAGUCGAACGGUAACAGGCCGCAAGGUGCUGACGAGUGGCGAACGGGUGAGUAAUGCAUCGGAACGUGCCCAGUCGUGGGGGAUAACUACUCGAAAGAGUAGCUAAUACCGCAUACGAUCUAUGGAUGAAAGCGGGGGACCGUAAGGCCUCGCGCGAUUGGAGCGGCCGAUGUCAGAUUAGGUAGGUGGUGGGGUAAAGGUUCACCAAGCCAACGAUCUGUAGCUGGCCUGAGAGGACGACCAGCCACACUGGGACUGAGACACGGCCCAGACUCCUACGGGAGGAAGCGGUGGGGAAUUUUGGACAAUGGGCGCAAGCCUGAUCCAGCAAUGCCGCGUGCAGGAAGAAGGCCUUCGGGUUGUAAACUGCUUUUGUACGGAACGAAACGGCUCUGGUUAAUACCCGGGGCUAAUGACGGUACCGUAAGAAUAAGCACCGGCUAACUACGUG
rnacentral:rRNA from 1 species